CCUACUGGUGGCAGCAGUGAGGAAUAUUGGUCAAUGGCCGGAAGGCUGAACCAGCCAUGCCGCGUGAAGGUCAGUGCCCUAUGGGCGGUAAACUUCUUUUGUGCGGGAGCAAUAAUGGUCACGUGUGGCCAGACGAGAGUACCGUACGAAUAAGCAUCGGCUAACUCCGUGCCAGCAGCCGCGGUAAUACGGGUGAUGCAAGCGUUAUCCGGAGUUAUUGGGGUUGAAGGGUGCGUAAGCUGUGAGGUAAGUCAGCGGUGAAAUGCCCCCGCUCGACGGGGUGAAGUGCCAUUGAUACUGGCUUGCUAGAAUGCGGAUGCGGUGGGAGGAAUGUGAGGUGUAGCGGUGAAAUGCAUAGAUAU
rnacentral:rRNA from 1 species